rnacentral:misc_RNA from 1 species
AUUAUUUUUUUUUAAGUGUCCAAACUAUUCAUUACUUGUCCAGAUGGCGCUUUUCUAAAUAUGGCGUCAGAGACACCGGGCAUGUGCUUUCUAGAAAUUACCGUGUUUUCCAUCUUUGAAUAGUUUGCUUGACAGUUGUUUGAAGUUGCACGAGAUGCAAGAUAGACAACAGUGCCCUCUUUGUCUACGUGCUGGCCUGGUCAAAUACCUGCAGAGUUACCAGAUAAAUCUUGAAGAAGCAAUAGUCCUGUGUGAAAAUAAACUGUGUACAUAUCCUCUGUCUCAGAGUUCAUCUGUGACCACAACAUUUUCUCGAAGCCUUGACGAUGUCAUAUCCAGCAGGGCCAAUGAGGAGAAAGUUCAAGUCCCAGAUGCCCAAUUGGCAUUACAGACGAAAGUAGCAUCUCACAUGCGCAAGACAGGACUCCGGCUUCAAAAAGAUGCUAUCGGUAUUCAGACUGGAAGUCCACAGUUAAAAAAAAAGUUAAAGUCUCACAGAUUGCCUCAUAAGAAAAGGGGCAUAACUCCAGUAUUACUCAAACAGGCUAGUUCUGACAAUUAUCAUCACCCGCUCAAACUCCAGAACAGUUCACGGUCAUUCCCAAACUUCAAGUCUUUCACAGAAAACAGUCGUAAUAUUCCUGGUGCUACAGAUUGCAAAUCUUGGACAAGUUGUAAUGGAUCGGAAGGAGGCUCCGAUAAAGAUUCGUUACUUAACUCUAGCGUUGACAGCCUAGAGUCGUCGUCCUCAGCUAGUUCAAACAGUUCUAUUGGUGAUAGCUUAAAUUUUUCAAAACAGGUGACAGCCUCUUAUCCAGCAUUUCAGCUUGGAGAAGGUAAAACACGAAAUUUGCCAAAAUCUUUGCCAAGUUUUAAAAGUAUUUCUAGUCAGCCAACUCAGCUCAAUGGACAGUCUGUGAAAGAAAAUCAUAAGCUGCCCGAAGCUGUUGAAAAUGUUCCUCUCAAAACUGAAGAUAUUAAUCCAGUUUCUGUCCCAAAAGAUUGUGAAGUUAAUGUAAAUGAAUUACAUGUACCCAAAUUGAAUGUGAUAAACAGGAGUCCAAGUAUUUCUCAAGGAGACAGUUCAUUACUUGUCUGUAAAGAUAAUUGUGAUCCACUAAGUAAGGAUAGAUUGGUAAAUAAGGAAACUCUUGGUAAACUUCAGAAAUGUUUGUCAAAAAAUGCUGUGAUUGGAAAUAGUACCAGUGUGAUUGGAAAUAGUAACACUGUAAUUGGAAAUAGAACCGGUGUGAUUGAAAAUAGUGCUGAUGUUGAAAAGAGAGAAAACUUGCUCAGAUACCCAUAUGUCUUUCCACAAUGGCGAAACAAAGAUGCUCUCUGUUGGCUAGAUGUAAUUUUAUGUUUAGUUGUUCAUAACGAAACACUGAAAUCCUACAUAUUCAGAGAUUCCUGUGAUAAGGAAAAAUUUAUCCAUAAACUGUUCAAGGCACACAAUCAAGCCUGCAUUAUGAUACAAGUAUCACAAAUGAACCAAACUGAACACUCUCCUGUUGUUUGUAUGGAACAACAUACGAGCAAAAUUGAUGAACAUUCAGUUUCAACUGUAAAUCAAGUGCAUCAGAGUAAUGGUGUCAGUAAAGAGAACAUUGUUAUUAGCAACGCUGGUGGUAAUGGUACUUGCUUAGAUAACAGUACUAGAGUAGAAACCCUGUUAAAUGAAGUCAGGGACGAGGUAUGGACAAAGUUACAGAGCAAACUGAAGUGCGAAAAGGGGCAGCACGAAAGCCCUGUGUUUGCAUUUCCAUUAAUUUUGAAGGAGGACCAAGGUGUUGAGGAGAAGUUUAGGAUGACAUACAGGUUUGAAUAUGAGUGCUCACAGUGUGGAAAAGUUGAGAAAACAGAUCAUACAAACACCCUUCCUACAUUCCCAGCUGUUAUUCAGAACUUCAAUAUUGGUGACCCACAACACAGAAAGACGUGUCCUCAAUGUGGCAACACUGCAGAUUCAAGAACUAUGGUCUACAAAAAGCUACCUGAAUGUCUGCUCAUGCAUUUUGUGGAAGGAUUACCAGAAACUACAUGGAGAGAGUUGCAGUUUGGUUUCCAUGGUUACUUGUAUACAGUGACAGGUGUUGUACAAUAUGUGAAUAAUCCCAAUCAUUUCAUAGCGUGGCUGAGAAAUCCAAAUGAUAAUAAAUGGUUUAAAUGUGAUGACUUGCGGCCAACAGUAUGUAGAAAAAGAAUCAAUGAGCCAAAAUUUCCAUGUAAGGAAAUACACAUUGUAAUGUGGGAACGAUUACAGUUGAAGUCUAGAAUUUGUCGUCAGGUUGCCAUGGAUAUAGAUUCCCCUUUGCGUCAGCAGGAAUUAGAAAAGAACCUGAGCCUAGUUUGCUCAUCAGGAAGUAAGCUGAAACUAUCUGCAAAUGAAAGUGAUACUGCAUCGAAACAAGUAGACAUAUUAAGUGAAAACACCAUGAGUAAUGAUAAAACAAUAGAUACCAAGGUAAAAUGUAUAAGUUUGAACUCUAUUCAAGCACUAGACACAAGUCCAUGUUCUACGCGUAGUACUGAAUCUUCUGAUUCAUUGUUAUUGCCCAACUUCAUAGCCUCUACACCAGUGAGUGAAAGUGUUCUUCGUCCUAUUCCAGUGCCAAUUGUCAGUGUAUUACCACUUAAGAGUGAUAGGAAUGAUGUUUGUAUUAGAAAAGAUUUACCAGUGCAAGAAAAAACAGAACACGUAGACAGGUCAGAGUCAGAAAAUUCUGAAACUACUGGCUUGAACAAAGAACUGAAAGUGAAAAAUCCUGAUGUGAUAGAACAUUUGAAAGCAAUGAUAGAAAGCAGAAUAUCAGUAGGUGUUAAAGAUGAUCCAAAUGAGCAAACUGAAAGAAAUUGUCAGUCUGACUUACCUUGUUCUCAAAUAAGUGGACCAAAAAGCUUGAUCAAGCCAUCAACAGUAUUUUGUGUUCCGAAGAAAUCCAGUGACCUUGGAAAGAUAUCCCUUUCCAGUGGUGUAAUGGCAGCUCAUUGUAAUGGAGCUGUUAAAAAUGAAACUGUUUACCAAAACGUUUUUAGUAAGUCAAAAGAGAAGGGGACUGAAUGUGAUUCAGGUGUUAAAGAAAAUGAAUUAAAAGAUGCAUCGAACAAAACCAUGGCUGAAAUAGAACUUCCAUCUAAACAAGGUGAGAAAAUGGAAGAAAAAGACAGUAAAAAUGAGGUUGAAAAAAAUACUGACAUCAUUAAAGAAAGUGAUAAAAAAAAGACUACGAAAGGACGUACCAGCUCCUCAAGACUUAGUCACAGUUCUAGGUUCAAGGUGCCAUUCAGUUAUAAUAAAAAGCCUCAUAUAUCAAGGGAUGCUUUCUUUACACUACAAACUGAUAAAAGUAGUCCAUGUUCAAGUGGAGAAAGUACACCGCUUUCCAUUUCAGCAUCCUCCUCACCAUCAUUAAGUGGCAAUUUAACAUACUUAAGCUCUGUUAAACAGUAUUUGCUGAGCAGAACAACAGGCAGGACAGACCCGAAAUUCAAAUUUGAGGGUCUGAAUUUAAAAUCAGUUUCCAGUAGAAGUAGUUCUUUCAAUUUUUCUGAGUUUUAUUUACCUGUAUCAAGUCACACAUCAAGUAAUGGUUCAGAAAUACCAGAAGUAAGCAAUUCGUCAAGUGACAAUAUGGAGGAUUCUCAGUCCAUGAGUGAUACUUCUAGUCAAAGUUCAAUAAUAUCAAGGAAAAGUGCUUUAGUGAAUAAAUUAAUCGAAAAACUUGAACAGAGUCCAGUUGGUGGGACUGGGAAUCAUACAACUUUGAAAAGAAAAUUAGAGAACAAUACAAGUAAGAACACAAAGAAGAAAGUUUCAGGUGAUACAAACAAGUGGGACAAAAUGUCAAAUGGAAAUACGUCGUUAAAAGAAAAUUCUAGAUUUCCCCACCGGAAAAAGAUGCCUGGUGGAAAGAGUAUGAAACUUGUCAGAAAUCUUGUAAAUGCAGCAGAACAAGCUAAUAUUAUGCAAGAAAAGAAGACAAAAUAUGACGAGGGUUCUACAGAACUGAGUGACAACAUGGUCAAAGCAAACGAAACAAAAUGUGACUCCGAAUCGGUGCUACAGGAUCUCUAUGAGGCUCUGAAUCUUCCAUUUAGUAAUGUGAAUGCUGCAAUGUCGGAUAUCAUGACGGACGUAGAUGAUAUACUUGACUUUGUAAAUGUUGGGGACGUGGUACCCGAUGAGCAUCAGAGUGAUAGACCGUUGUCUUGUUUAGGUGGCUCCAUUGCUGGGAACCAGAAACACUCCGAUUGUUGGAUAAGGAGACCAGGUCGUAAUUCUGCCUAAACCGAGAUGCCAUAUCUUAGAAUCACUCAUUUAUUUCUCAAAUAACCAUAACGUAUUGAUGGAAGAGUAGAUAUGGCUACAAUAUAUACAACACGAGAAUCACUUGUCUGGUUUGACCACUGUCCGACUUUUAGAACUGUCCGUCAUGUCCGAAGUGAGCAUUUUUACUUUGAACCAAAAUUUGAUGGCAACUCAACAAGUCUUGGUUCAAAGUUCUGUUGUCCGUAUGGUUGGUUUUCGUCCGUACAUACGUCCGUCCGUCUGUCUGUGGUAGAACCAAUGGUGGAAGUUUACGAAAUGGAGGAUUCAAGGAUGAAUAACAAUCGAUGGACCCCACACCACAUGAUGCAAGGGUUUGUAUCCAGAGAAGAAGACCUACCAGUAUGGAACUCAAAAAUGAAUUUGGACAAUCAUCAACUUGGGUUCAGGACUACUGCUAGGAAAUUAAAUCUUAUUCAGUUGUGAAAUAAUGAGGAAUAAUACCAGUUAGUAAUGUGAGCAUAUUGUAGAAUUUCUUGUAGAAAGAAAAUGGUGCAAGUUUGAAAUUUGUUAAAUAAUUUUUGUUGAAUCAUGAAAAAAUACCUGUCAAAUACAGCCAGUUUGCUUUCA